AUGCAAAUGUUGUCUUCUCCAAGA
rnacentral:siRNA from 1 species